CGUUGAAACACGGGCUCUCGUAUGAACACUGAAGUCAAGCAAAGUCGAGCCUGGUCAGUAAUUCAAUAGGUGACCGCUUGGGGAUUAUCAGGUGCUGUAA